UACGUAGGGCGCAAGCGUUGUCCGGAAUUAUUGGGCGUAAAGAGCUCGUAGGCGGUCUGUCACGUCGGCUGUGAAAACCCGAGGCUCAACCUCGGGCCUGCAGUCGAUACGGGCAAACUAGAGUACUGCAGGGGAGACUGGAAUUCCUGGUGUAGCGGUGAAAUGCGCAGAUAUCUGGAGGAAUACCGGUGGCGAAGGCGGCAUCCUGGACCGGCAUUGACGCUGAGGAGCGAAAGCCAGGGGAGCAAACGGG
rnacentral:rRNA from 1 species